rnacentral:rRNA from 1 species
AACGAACGCUGGCGGCAGGCUUAACACAUGCAAGUCGAACGGAUGUAGCAAUACAUUAGUGGCAGACGGGUGAGGGACACGUGGGAAUAUUCCCUUCAGUUUGGAAUAACUUGAGGAAACUUGAGCUAAUACCGGAUACGUCCGCAAGGAGCAAGAUUUAUCGCUGAAGGAUUAGCCCGCGUCUGAUUAGCUAGUUGGUGAGGUAACGGCUCACCAAGGCGACGAUCAGUAGCUGGUCUGAGAGGAUGAUCAGCCACAUUGGGACUGAGACACGGCCCAAACUCCUACGGGAGGCAGCAGUGGGGAAUAUUGGACAAUGGGCGCAAGCCUGAUCCAGCCAUGCCGCGUGAGUGAUGAAGGCCUUCGGGUUGUAAAGCUCUUUUGUCCGGGAAGAUAAUGACUGUACCGGAAGAAUAAGCCCCGGCUAACUUCGUGCCAGCCGCCGCCGUAA